AGAUCUGCCCUUAAGAUGUGACAAUAUGUGAUUAAAAAAAUAGUAGCAGCCAAAGACCCAAGCAGUGAAGUAAACUUCAAAUAAAUAUAAGCAAAAUAUAUUUGUCUUGGACUAUUAAAAAGCAGAAUGAAUGACAGCCAUUGCUGAUGGAGAAUUGGAACCAGACUUGAGUGAAUCAAGACCUUUUUCUGAAUGUAAAUUAGAAACCUUCAAUUUGAUUGAAGAAGACACAAAAAGAUGGAAAAGCAUUCCAUGCUCAUGGAUCAGAAGAAUAAACAUUGCUAAAAUGUCUAUACCGCCUAGAGCAAUCUAUACUUUCAAUGCCAUCCCAAUCAA